rnacentral:rRNA from 1 species
ACGAACGCUGGCGGCGUGCUUAACACAUGCAAGUCGAGCGGUAAGGCCCUUUCGGGGGUACGACGAGCGGCGAACGGGUGAGUAACACGUGGGUGACCUGCCCUCAGCUCUGGGAUAAGCCUGGGAAACCGGGUCUAAUACCGGAUAUGACUCCAUGACGCAUGUUGUGGGGUGGAAAGACCUUGUGCGGCUGAGGAUGGGCCCGCGGCCUAUCAGCUUGUUGGUGGGGUGAUGGCCUACCAAGGCGACGACGGGUAGCCGGCCUGAGAGGGCGACCGGCCACACUGGGACUGAGACACGGCCCAGACUCCUACGGGAGGCAGCAGUGGGGAAUCUUGCGCAAUAGGCGAAAGCCUGACGCAGCGACGCCGCGUGAGGGAUGACGGCCUGUGU